rnacentral:rRNA from 1 species
GACAGAGGGUGCAAACGUUGCUCGGAAUUACUGGGCGUAAAGCGCGUGUAGGUGGAUUGGUGUGUCAGAUGUGAAAGCCCUGGGCUCAACCCAGGAACUGCACCUGAAACUACCAGUCUUGAGUGGUGGAGAGGGAAGUGGAGUUCCUGGUGUAGAGGUGAAAUUCGUAGAUAUCAGGAGGAACACCAGUGGCGAAGGCGGCUUCCUGGCCCGGUACUGACGCUGAGGUGCGAAAGCGUGGGGAGCAAACAGG